UUUUUUAAAGGGGAGGGGGCAUAGAAAUCUAUACUUUUGUUUUUGCUCAGUGCAUCCUCAUGCUAUCGUCUCACCGAGGACAGCCCGGCCGACGCCGGGACCCCGGUUCAGUCAGUACUUAGACGACUAGGGACAGUUCUGCCCCGCCAGGGCUGCGCGGCCCGCCCGGGGGCCGGCAGGGAAGAUUCCGGCCCUGCGCAGGCGAGCAAGGGCAGCCGUGGGCCACGCGGCGCGUGUGCGUGGCAGCGCCAUUAGAAAUCCAGGGGAAAAGCCAAGCCGAUUGAAAGCCAGGGAACAGAGCAGCAAGCACCAGAGAGCACGAGUUCCCCACCAUAGCCCUGCAGCUCAAGAGGAAAAAGGAAAAAGGCCUGAUGGAUUCUGAAUUCCCGGCCGCCUUUGAUCUGCAAGACUGCCUCUAUCCUGAGGGCUCGAUCUGGCUCCUGGAGCUUGAUCUUGUUCUUGCUGAUGACUUUGCUACCUGUCCAAUGGGCCCUACUGGAC